GACGAACGCUGGCGGCGUGCCUAAUACAUGCAAGUAGGACGCAGUUGCGAACGGGUGAGUAACGAGUAGGUAACUACCUAUUAGAGGGGGAGAACUAGUGGAAACGAUAGCUAAUACCGCAUACUAGUAGAUGGCACUGAGUUGUAUUAGCUAGUAGGUCGGGUAAAGGCCUACCUAGGCAAAGAUACAUCGCCGACCUGAGAGGUUGAUCGGCCACACUGGGACUGAUACCCGGCCCUGACUCCUACGGGCGGCAGCAGUAGGGAAUCUUCGGCAAUGGGGGGACCCCUGACCGAGCAACGCCGCGUGAGUGAUGAAGGUUUUCGGAUCGUAAAGCUCUGUUGUUAAGGAAGCGGUACUUAACCAGAAAGGGACGGCUAACUACGUGCCAGCAGCCGCGGUAAUUC
rnacentral:rRNA from 1 species